rnacentral:ncRNA from 2 species
AUAGCGUAAGUUCAUACUGCUCGUAUAAAUUUGAGGAUAUGGCUCAAAAGUUUCUACCAGGCGACCGUAAAUUACCUGACUACGAGUGAAAUUGUACCUAGG